rnacentral:rRNA from 1 species
CCCGAGUGGUCGGGACGGUUAUUUGGCCUAAAGCAUCCGUAGCCGGCCCUGUCCGUCUUCCGUUAAAUCUAACGGCCCAACCGUUAGGCUGCGGAAGAUACCACAGGGCUAGGGGGCGGGAGAGGUGGACGGUACUCCAAGGGUAGGGGUAAAAUCCUCUGAUCCUUGGAAGACCACCGGUGGCGAAGGCGGUCCACCAGAACGCGCCCGACGGUGAGGGAUGAAAGCUGGGGGAGCGAACCGGAUUAGAUACCCGGGUAGUCCCAGCCGUAAACGAUGCGAGCUAGGUGACAGAAUGGCCUAAGAGCCAUUCUGCUGCCGCAGGGAAGCCGUUAAGCUCGCCGCCUGGGGAGUACGGACGCAAGUCUGAAACUUAAAGGAAUUGGCGGGGGAGCACCACAAGGGGUGAAGCCUGCGGUUCAAUUGGAGUCAACGCCGGGAACCUCACCAGGGGAGACAGCAGGAUGAAGGUCAAGCUAAAGACUUUACCCGACGAGCUGAGAGGAGGUGCAUGGCCGUCGCCAGCUCGUGCCGUGAGGUGUCCUGUUAAGUCAGGCAACGAGCGAGACCCUCGCCGCUAGUUGCUGUCCUCUCCCGCAAGGGAGAGGAAGGUAGUUAGCGGGACUGCCGCCGUUCAAGGCGGAGGAAGGAGAGGGCUACGGCAGGUCAGUAUGCCCCGAAACCCCUGGGCCACACGCGGGCUGCAAUGGUAGGGACAGAGGGUGUCCAACUCCGAAAGGAGGAGGUAAACCCUAAACCCUACCCCAGUUGUGAUUGAGGGUUGCAACCCACCCUCAUGAAUAUGGAAUCCCUAGUAACCGCGUGUCACCAUC